UACGUAGGGGGCGAGCGUUGUCCGGAUUUAUUGGGCGUAAAGAGCUCGUAGGCGGUUUGGUAAGUCGGAUGUGAAAUCUCCAGGCUCAACCUGGAGGGGUCAUUCGAGACUGCUAUGACUAGAGUUCGGUAGAGGAGUGUGGAAUUCCUGGUGGAGCGGUGAAAUGCGCAGAUAUCGGGAAGAACACCCGUGGCGAAGGCGGCUCUCUGGGACGGUACUGACGCUGAGACGCGAAAGCGUGGGGAGCGAACAGG
rnacentral:rRNA from 1 species